rnacentral:rRNA from 1 species
GCUUUACACAUGCAAGUCGAACGGUAACAGGUCUUCGGAUGCUGACGAGUGGCGAACGGGUGAGUAAUACAUCGGAACGUGCCCGAGAGUGGGGGAUAACGAAGCGAAAGCUUUGCUAAUACCGCAUACGAUCUCAGGAUGAAAGCAGGGGACCGCAAGGCCUUGCGCUCACGGAGCGGCCGAUGGCAGAUUAGGUAGUUGGUGGGAUAAAAGCUUACCAAGCCGACGAUCUGUAGCUGGUCUGAGAGGACGACCAGCCACACUGGGACUGAGACACGGCCCAGACUCCUACGGGAGGCAGCAGUGGGGAAUUUUGGACAAUGGGCGCAAGCCUGAUCCAGCCAUGCCGCGUGCAGGAUGAAGGCCUUCGGGUUGUAAACUGCUUUUGUACGGAACGAAAAGACUCUGGUUAAUACCUGGGGUCCAUGACGGUACCGUAAGAAUAAGCACCGGCUAACUACGUGCCAGCAGCCGCGGUAAUACGUAGGGUGCGAGCGUUAAUCGGAAUUACUGGGCGUAAAGCGUGCGCAGGCGGUUAUGUAAGACAGAUGUGAAAUCCCCGGGCUCAACCUGGGAACUGCAUUUGUGACUGCAUAGCUAGAGUACGGCAGAGGGGGAUGGAAUUCCGCGUGUAGCAGUGAAAUGCGUAGAUAUGCGGAGGAACACCGAUGG